UUACCAGCAGCUAUAGCUGCUCCUACUCCUGUUUCAGCUUUAGUUCAUUCAUCUACUUUAGUUACAGCGGGAGUUUAUUUAUUGAUUCGAUUUAAUAUAAUAUUAUUAGAUAUAUUUUUUUUAAAGUUAUUAUUACUAUUAUCAGGUUUAACUAUAUUUAUAGCUGGAAUUUCUGCUAAUUAUGAAUUUGAUUUAAAAAAAUUAUUGCUUUAUCAACAUUAAGUCAGUUAGGUUUAAUAAUAAGAAUUUUAAGAAUAGGACUACCUGAUUUAGCUUUUUUUCAUUUAUUAACUCAUGCUAUAUUUAAGGCUUUAUUAUUUAUAUGUGCUGGUAUUAUUAUUCAUAUAAUAAAUGAUAUUCAAGAUAUUCGUUUUAUAGGUGGGAUUAGAUUAUAUAUUCCUUUAACUUCUUUAUGUAUAAAUAUUUCUAAUAUAGCUUUAUGUGGGAUUCCUUUUUUAGCUGGAUUUUAUUCUAAGGAUUUAAUUUUAGAAUUAGUUAGAUUUAGAAAUUUAAAUUUAAUAAUUUUUUUUUUAUAUUAUCUUUCUACUGGUUUAACAAUAUUUUAUAGAUUUCGUUUAAUAAUAUAUUUAAUAGUAAAUGAUUUUAAUUUAUUAAGAAUUUUUAAUUUAUAUGAUGAAGAUUAUAUUAUAUUAAAAAGAAUGUUUGUUUUAUUAUUUAUAAGAAUUGUUAGAGGAAGAUUUUUAAGUUGAAUAAUUUUUUCUUAUCCUUAUAUGAUUUAUUUACCUUUUAAUUUAAAAAUGAUAGUUAUUUAUGUAAGAUUAAUAGGGGGUAUAUUAGGAUAUUUUAUUAGAAAUAUGAGAAUUUAUUCUGUAAAUAAAUUUUUAAUGACUUAUAAUUUAAGAAAUUUUUUAUGUUUAAUGUGAUUUAUACCUAAUUUAUCUACUUAUGGUUUAAGAUAUUAUUUUCUUAAUUUAGGUCAAUCUUUAUUAAAAAAUAUUGAUAUAGGAUGAAGAGAAAUUUAUAGAGGAUUUGGUAUAAUACAAGUAAUAAAAAAAUAUUCUGUUUUAUAUAAUGUUUAUCAAAUAAAUAAUUUUAUAAUUUAUUUAUUUAGAUUUAUUAUUUGAAUAUUUAUUUUAUUUAUAAUAUUAAUAUUUAAUAAUUAAUUUAAAUAGCUUAUAAAUUAGAGCAUAAUAUUGAAGAUAUUAAGGAAAUAUGGAUUAUUUUUAAAUAUAAAAAUAUAAAUUAAAUUAUUUAUAAAAAAAUUUUUUUAUUUUUACAAUGAAAAUGUAAUGUUUUAUUUAAACUAUAUAAAUAGAAAUAUUAAUGGAAUUUAACCACUAAAAAUUAAGUUAGCAGCUUAAUUUUAAUCUUUAUAUUUCUUAGUUAAUUUAAUUGGAAUAAAUAUUCAAUUUUAUCAUUAACAGUGAUAUACCUCUAUUUUGGUUUCAAUUAAGUAAGUAAAUAUAUUAUAAAAAUUUUAUUAUUUAUUUAUUUUAAAUAAGGAGUUAAUUAAACUCUUUCUUUUAAGUCGAAAUUAAAUGCAAUAUUGCUUCUUAUUUAAGAUAAAUUAAUUUAUAAUAUUUUUUGAAUGCAAAUCAAAUGUUUUAUUUAAACUAUAAUCCUAAUUGGUUCAAUUUAAUAUAUUUUGGUUUCAUUCAUGAUAUAAACCAAUUAAUAAAAUUAAAAUAAAAAAAAAUCUAAUUUUAGUUCAAAAAAUAAAAUUUACUAGUUUAUAUAAUGGGAUAAUUGGAAAAAUUAAUGCAAUUUCAACAUCAAAAAUUAAAAAAAUAACUGUAAUUAAGAAAAAAUGUAAAGAAAAUGGAAUUCGAGCUGAAGAUUUAGGGUCAAAUCCACAUUCAAAGGGGGAACAUUUUUCUCGGUCUAUAAAUGAUUUUUUUGAUAAAAUAAUUGAUAAAAAUAUUAUAAUGUUUGAAAUUAAUAUAAUAAUAAUAAAAAUAUUUGUUAAUAAAAUGAUUAUUUAUAUUAAAAUUAUUAAACUUUUUGAUUGGAAGUCAAAUA